rnacentral:rRNA from 1 species
AUUGAACGCUGGCGGCAGGCCUAAUACAUGCAAGUCGAACGGUAACAUAGGAAAAGCUUGCUUUUCCUGAUGACGAGUGGCGGACGGGUGAGUAAAGUUUGGGAAGCUACCUGAUAGAGGGGGACAACAGUUGGAAACGACUGCUAAUACCGCAUACAGCCUGAGGGUGAAAGCAGCAAUGCGCUAUCAGAUGCGCCCAAAUGGGAUUAGCUAGUAGGUGAGGUAAAGGCUCACCUAGGCGACGAUCUCUAGCUGGUCUGAGAGGAUGAUCAGCCACAUUAGGACUGAGACACGGCCCAGACUCCUACGGGAGGCAGCAGUAGGGAAUAUUGCACAGUGGAGGAAACUCUGAUGCAGCCAUGCCGCGUGUGUGAAGAAGGCCUUCGGGUUGUAAAGCACUUUCGGAGGGGAGGAGAAUGACGUUACCCUCAGAAGAAGCACCGGCUAACUCCGUGCCAGCAGCCGCGGUAAUACGGAGGGUGCAAGCGUUAAUCGGAAUAACUGGGCGUAAAGGGCAUGCAGGCGGUUAAACAAGUAGGAUGUGAAAUCCCCGGGCUCAACCUGGGAGCUGCAUACUAAACUGUUUAACUAGAGUAUUGCAGGGGGAGACGGAAUUCCAGGUGUAGCGGUGGAAUGCGUAGAUAUCUGGAAGAACACCAAAGGCGAAGGCAGUCUCCUGGGCAAAUACUGACGCUCAUAUGCGAAAGCGUGGGUAGCAAACA